CCUACGGGAGGCAGCAGUAGGGAAUAUUGCUCAAUGGGGGAAACCCUGACGCAGCAACGCCGCGUGGAGGAUGAAGGUUUUCGGAUUGUAAACUCCUUUUGUUAGAGAAGAUAAUGACGGUAUCUAACGAAUAAGCACCGGCUAACUCCGUGCCAGCAGCCGCGGUAAUACGGAGGGUGCAAGCGUUACUCGGAAUCACUGGGCGUAAAGGGCGCGUAGGCGGGAUAGCAAGUCAGAUGUGAAAUCCUAUGGCUUAACCAUAGAACUGCAUUUGAAACUGUUAUUCUAGAGUAUGGGAGAGGUAGGUGGAAUUCUUGGUGUAGGGGUAAAAUCCGUAGAGAUCAAGAGGAAUACGCAUUGCGAAGGCGACCUGCUAGAACAUAACUGACGCUGAGGCGCGAAAGCGUGGGGAGCAAACAGGAUUAGAUACCCGAGUAGUC
rnacentral:rRNA from 1 species